CCCUAGCCCUGAUUGAAGUGAAAAUCCUUUUUAGUUUUUUCUUUAAAAACUAAAAAGAUUGAAACGGAAAGCAGGAUUAGCU
rnacentral:sRNA from 1 species